rnacentral:lncRNA from 1 species
ACUCACUUGUGUCCUCUGCCAGAAGACAGUGACAUGACACGAAUGGUAGCACAAGGCUCUUCCAUUCAAUAAGUGAUUCUCCAUGGACAGACUGUGACUCCCCAAAGGUUGCAAAGAGAGUCCAACAGCUAUUCAAGUGGAGGGGCACAUCUUGUCAAUCGCUGAACGACCUCCUUUGUAAAUUGAGUGAGAGUGUGUGAGUUGCCCUGGAGCAUCUUUUAAUAGAAAAAAUGCAGCAGGCGUUCUGAAUGCUGCCGCUGCCAAGAUGGGAGCCCUUGGACUCGAGCUGCUGUGGUGCCUGAAGUCAUCACCAGGCUGGGAGAGAGCACCAGAUGGGGAAGGAGGCUACAGCUCCUGCAGGACCCAGCAGAAAGGUCCAAAUGCAGAGGGUGCGGAAUUCAUCCACCAGCCUCUGCCAGGUUGUGAAUGCGCAGUCUGUUUCUUCUGGAAGACCCCAGGUGACGUGACAGGUAAGAAAAGGAACACAAUAAUGCAGAACAAAAGUAGGGUGGGUUGGUUAAAAAGAAAAUACUGCAGUUUUUAGAGGACUAAUCCAGGUG